rnacentral:rRNA from 1 species
CCUACGGGAGGCAGCAGUGGGGAAUUUUGGACAAUGGGCGCAAGCCUGAUCCAGCAAUGCCGCGUGAGUGAAGAAGGCCUUCGGGUUGUAAAGCUCUUUUGUCAGGGAAGAAAAGGUAGCCUCUAAUACAGGCUGCUCAUGACGGUACCUGAAGAAUAAGCACCGGCUAACUACGUGCCAGCAGCCGCGGUAAUACGUAGGGUGCAAGCGUUAAUCGGAAUUACUGGGCGUAAAGCGUGCGCAGGCGGUUAUAUAAGUCAGCUGUGAAAUCCCCGGGCUCAACCUGGGAACUGCAGUUGAGACUGUAUGGCUAGAGUGUGUCAGAGGGGGGUAGAAUUCCACGUGUAGCAGUGAAAUGCGUAGAUAUGUGGAGGAAUACCGAUGGCGAAGGCAGCCCCCUGGGGAUAACACUGACGCUCAUGCACGAAAGCGUGGGGAGCAAACAGGAUUAGAUACCCUGGUAGUCCACGCCCUAAACGAUGUCUACUAGUUGUUGGGUCUUAAUUGACUUAGUAACGCAGCUACGCGUGAGUAGACCGCCGNGGGAGGUACGGUCGCGAGAAGUUAAACGUUACGAAAGGAAAGUUAGUACGGACGUGAGACGUUGCCGACGGACGACCGACGAGGGGAGGAGGG